ensembl:lncRNA
GGAAAAUGGGAUGGCUGCCAGAACAUCAGUCGGUGAUGGGUGCCAUAUUGCAUUACUCUUCGAAUGGUGGAAUAGAGCUUGGGAUUCCUCUGGGCUGCUUGACAUGAUUCAAACUGGACCAUACAGAUGCCUAACAUCUUAGCUGUUUGGAUUCAUAGUAAUGGUUAAUGGUCUCCUGGGGGAAGUGGAAAAGCCCCAUGCUGAAACUUGUGGAUAUUACGGAACAUGCUGCUGAGACCUAUUUGGAUUAUACUGCCAUGUGACACCAAGGUUCUGCAUCUGAUGAGAGGAGUUCACCAGAUCUUUUUAUGUGGUUGCUGAAGCAUUGCCCUGGGACAGCAGUAAUGAUGGAUGGACGAACAGAACACACUUCAGGCUUGAGUCACAGAGAAACAUGAGGAUUUGCACUUCUGAAAUAAGUGUGAAUGGGAUUGAAAGAACUAAAUGGAGGAUUCUGAACUCCCCUUCUUCCUGCUCCGGGAAAGAUGGAGGCCUGCUCUGAGACCGCCUUUGGUUAUGAUCCACAUGUGCUACUGAAGCUGGCUGGAAUGGUGUGACAAAUGCAUAAAGCUGUGCCAUUCGGAAGAAGCAAGACAGUCUUUCCUCACAGCUACGAUGCUGCACCGCUUCCGACAGAACCUGCUUUUCCCUCCAUUUACCUGGGCGACUGCUGCUCUUUCUGCUGCUGCUGGGGCUGCUGCAGUCUUGCUGCCUGCGCUUCACCCUGGCUUGGCUGACUCGAAACUCUUUCGUCUGCACAUUGCUAAGGAAGAAGAGCGAUGGAGCCACGGAUAUUUUUUUUAUUGGUUCUGGAAGCCAAGGGUUGCAAUAUGUGAUGAUUUCGGGGUUUUCUGUGGCGGGGUGGAGGGAGGAGAAAGGAAGGGUAUUAAUCUAGGAUAGGGUGGGUGAAAGCUUAAAGAAAUAUUAUGUAAAGUAAUCCAGUGCUUGACAAGGGCAUCAGCAACAAGAAUCCAGCCUCUGCUGCUCCAGAGGAUUAAUAUGGGGAAGUCACAGUGCUGCAGUCGGGUUUCACCUCAGUGCUGUACUGGAGAUGGAUAAAUAAGGUAUUGGUUGCAUCUGCCUGUUAAGGCAAAGCCAAGGGAGAAGGAGAGAGCGAGUGAAUGCAAAUGCAAAGGAAGAAGAAACGCUCUGUGCCGUUUGUCUGAUUCUGCGGAUUCUCACUGCAGAGAGGAUGGCUUGAUUAACAAAGCAAUGUAUGGACCGAGGGACUGUAAAUUGUAGCUUGAGCAUUCCUGGUGCUGCCAGGGAGUGAACUGAUGAGUUAGGUAGCUGCAGGAAUAUCCCCAGGGUAAACAGCAGCCUCUCACUCUGUGUCUAUAUUUGUGUACGUAUGUGCUUUUGUGUGUGUGUGUGUGAACACGUACAGAAAUGAAAGAAAGACAUUUCUGACCAAUUUACAGGGGACGUUUGUCAGUUUGCUGGGUCAGACUUGAUUACAGCUUGUAUUUUCAGCUCUAGCUCUACACCCAUUUCCUGACUGAGGUGGCACUUUGUGAAAACAGAUGGUAGGCAGUAUUCUUUUAAGAAUUGUGAAAGCAGAUCCUUUCCGCUUAACACCUUGAAGCACUGAACCUUCUGCACUGUGCUGAGAGAAACCGUGGGGUUUCAUUUUCUCCAUCUUAAAAUCUCUAUAAACACAGCUGUAUUCAGUAUGGUGAAAAAUUCUAUACUGUAAAUAGAAAUGUGAUCAAUCUAAUCAAAAUAAAUGCAUCCCAGAUGACUUCUAGACCAGCUGGCUACCACAGUCAUCAGAUGGCUAAAUCCUCAACUGAGCAUUUGUAUUCAGUGUUAUACUUGCAUCUUUUUAUUUUUCUCUUUUUUUUUUUCUUAGAUUUUCAAAAUCAGCCUCUAAUUUAAAAGGAUUCUUCAUAUAUUUAGAAAAGGCAAUGCUUUCUGUGAAAUGUACCUGGGUGUAUUUUUUACUUUGGAAUCUGCUUGGGGCGAUUUUAGAGUAGGUAGACUUGUCACAGUACAGGCAUAUUUCAUUUGGUAGGUAGCUCAGCCUGGCCAUAUCUGAACAAUGCAGAAACAGGGAAAACAACCACUGCAUACAGCUAGCAGGGCUUGGCAUGGAUUUUAGCAGCUGCCUAUCAAGAAAGACAAGUUUUUUUUCUUUCCGUUUUUCCCUUUUAUACAAAGCCAUAGACCAUAAUGUCAUACUAAAAUGUGUAUGAGGGGAUUUCCCAAUAGUCAUGGUGAGCUAGCCUGCAGGACUCCCGUCUAGUCCUUCCACUAUUUUUUCCCCAGCUUACAAAGGCAGCCCUGUAUGUUGAAUUGUAUUUAGCCAGCUGUUGGAUAGCAUUCUUGUGCUGGGGGCUAAGGAGUCUUAUUACUCCCAAACUGUAGUUUUCUGUUUGCUUAAAGAAAAUUGGCAAUACAGCAGGCUCUGCAAAUAAGUUUAUGCCACUCCUAUACCUUUCUGAAUCUGUUGUGUGCUUCUAAGUCAAGCAGUUUAAAGCAAGCAAGGAGGGAGGAGGAGAGACUCUGAACUUGCAGCUUCAAAGCUACAGAGACAAGCAAAAUGUCAGCAGCUUGUAAUUAGGAGCCCACGGUUACGUCAGUGACUGUAUCUCUCCAGGAAUUGCUAUGAGAUGUGUGCCACAAAGCAAAGGAAGACUCUCAUAACCUGGUUAACAAGCCUGGCUCAAACAAGAAAGAGCAAAAUGGAUUAAUGAAUCUGCUGUGUUCCUAAUUCAGAUGUGGAUGGAUUACACGCACAAGGUUUGCUGAAUUCUGCAGCAGCGAAGACUGAAUUAUAGCAUGCAUUCACCAAAAGUGCAAAUCCUUCAGGAAAAAAAUGCAGAUGAGCAGUCUAUCCUUGAAAAUUUCUUUCCUAGCUCUGUCCUGUACAGGCAGCUGCAUGACAUGGAGGCACGCUCUGAAGGAAGAGACUGGCGAGCUGCACAAAGAUGUUUAAAAGGAAGGUGCAAUUAGACACAAAGCAAGCCUGCUGAAAUUCUGUUCUGGCAUUACAGAUUUGAUACUGAAAUACCACCACAGAGGAGACCGGCUGGGCUCUGGUGUGGUUUAUAUUAAGGCUUCUCGGUUAAGAGCGAGGGGGAAGGGACAGGGCUUCCUGCAGCAUCUUGCAGCCAUACAGAAGUCCCCAGGGCUGUGGGAAGCAGGAGGGAUGGGUGUGCUCUUAAAGACACAUGCCCAGAUCCUGCCAAGGGGCUUUCUGACCUCUGCAAUUAUUUUUAGGUCCAUGAAGGCAACUCGGCAGUGCUUUAGCAGUGAGAUUGCAGGGGGUGUUUAAUCUGCUGCGACUGGCCUUUCUCUGUGUCAUGGCUGGGAAAGGCUUAUAGAGCUUUUAUCAAUACCCCUCCACCCCUCCACCACAUCCAGCACGCAUGUCUGUCGCUGUUCCUAAAGACCAGUUACUGGAGUUCUGGUGUGUUUUCCUGCUCCCAGCAGAAGUCACUUGCAGUUCAGCUCUGUUGUAGUUGCUUUUUAAUUUACCAGAUAGGUAGAUUGUAUUUUACAAACAGUGGGGGUGGGUGGUUUUUGGUUUGGUUUUGGUUUGUUUUGGUUUUUUUGGUUUUUUUUGGACUGUGAACACAAAUUUGUAGGAUGAGGUGACUCUGUAUAUUAAACCAAUAGCUCUUUGAAUUGUGUGUAGUAUAAUCUAAAUAUACUUACUUUAAUUAAUAGAAGGUUACAAAAGCUGGCAUUGUCUGGGGCUGUUUAAUUUACAUCUUAGGUUUAGUCAAUGAGCACAACCUGCCUGAUUAGAACAGUGUAUUCUGCACAGCCAACAGGGUGGAAGGCAUUAUUUUGUUUGUGUUAGUUCAAACAGCUGGUCAUUAAUGCAGGCCCCAUCUCCAGAGUGAAGUGCUAGUGGACAUGAAUGGCUGCCUGAUUAAUGCUGCCCCUCGACGGGUCCUUCAUCCAGCAGCAAUGCUCGCAGCAGAAUAAUGCAGCGGGAUUUGAUUGCGCUCUAACAGGGUAGUAUGUCAUUGUGUCACCAAGCGAUCGAGGUUAUUAUGGGGUAGGGCAGACAGACGGGACAGUGGGGUUACUAGACCGUGGCAUUUUUAGAAAUGCAGGGCUGACCUACUUAGAGUUAUUCUUGCUGGCUGGCAGCUGCCUGGUGCGGGGCUCCCCCGGAUAGGCUGCGGCUGUUGCUAGGGGGAAUUAGCAUGAAUUUUUCCACAUACAGACUCAGUGAUUGAAUGAUAAAAGCUGACUGGAAUUAAAGAGAUUCGGUUCAGUAUUAUGCAGAUUUAUCUCCCUCAUUUUUUUUUCUCUCUGUCAAAUGCAUAAAAAGGAGCAGAAAACAGUUUGUUUCCAUUUAUUUUUGACCUAUUUUUUUUUUUUCCAGAGGAGGGCAGAAGUGUUGUGAGGUGAUAAUUUAAUAUUUAGGCCGUUGAAAUGAUAUGAUAGUGAGCAUGCAUCUUUAAUGUAUGGAAGAUUAAAAUGCUGCCUCUCUGGAAGGGAAUGAAAUGAAUAUAUUUUGUGUUCUCGUCAAGCUGCCACCUCUUUUUAUUUCAAGCCAUGUCAGAUUCUUUUAUCUGGAAAGGGGAAACAUAUACCAUGUUUUAUUGCAUAGCAUUACUCUUAGCUAUUUUUAGCUAUCUGUCCUUCAAAAAAUUAGUCUUAUUUAUACUAGUGGAUGAAAUUAAUCCCCAGGCUAUGCCUUAUGUAUGUGGAGACAGAUGCCCAGGGUAGCUGCAGUGUUGUGUGUCAUGUUCAUCUGAAAAGGUGUUUACACACUGCAGGCUUAUCAGCACUGCAUACCUAGCAGAGUGCAGAUGCCUGACAUGUAAUCAGAUCAAUUAGAGAACUCUCCUGGAUUAUGGAGUAUUUUUCAGGCCAUGGUUUGAAGUUGGAAUCUCUAGAUGGCCUUCUUUUAUUUAUCUACAUCUGCCUAAAACAGUGUUAUCUUUUCAGAGAACACUGUGCUCCCUUAGGAGGCAAAUAAUAACAAUACUUAGUGAAGAAUCCUUUGAUGUAAUCAUGAAUAUUUCCUUUGUUAUUAUCACUAGUUAUAGAAGAACUUUGUUUAAACCGCUAUUUCCCCUUGUGUGAUCUUUUGCCAUUCAAAGAAAUACCAAUUUAGUACUUAUAAUUUUAAGUUAAAUAUUCAUGGCAAUGCAUCAUGACAUCACACUCAAAGAAGUGGGAAUUUUCAAAAUAUGAGACAUUGGGGGAUGGGAGAGAAGGACCCACAUGCCUUUGGAAAUGCAAAAUAAAAAAUGGGACUUAGUGCUGAAAAGUAGUGAACUAAUUUUUGUCUGAAACAGUUUAAUUUCAAAUAUUUGGAUGGAUGAGGUACCUUUUAGAGGUUUGUGAACAACGUGCAUAUCUGAGGUACCUUUUAGAGGAGUGUGAGCUGCCUGUGCAUCUCUCUGGACAACUAGCUGCUUCCUUGGACCUAGAGCUGUCCUGCCUUGGCCCCUGGAAUUUAUUGGGAAGAUAUUAAAAAAAUGGAGACAUGAAUUUGAAUACAUUUUGUGGCUGAGGCAAAGCAUUCAGUUCCUACAGAGUUGAAUUUCCUAUGUUUUUUUUUUCCUGGCAUUGAUUCAUUACUGAAACCUGCACCACUUCCUUCUCUGCUUCUUCCUGACAGUCUCAUGGAGUGACAUAAUUUUAGAGAAGUGAAAGUGAGGAGUGGCACAGUUUGAUGCCCAGUAAUUGUGUUUGCCUUGUCUGUCCUCGGAGGUUACUCCAGAAAGUUGUGGUCCCACUUCCCUCAGCAAUAUUGUCUUGAUCAAAAUCUGAUGUCCUGCUCCACUUCUGUAGGAUGCUGCAGGAUGCCAGGCAACAGCCCUUGUAGACAGCUUUUGUCUACAGUUGUGUCUUGAGGUUUUUGCCCUUGUUGGUUGUAGCCAGUUGUAGUUUCAUCCAGUUCACCUGCGAUAUUAGCUGACUUGGGCUUCAGCAAAUCAAAAUAAACAUUCAAUACUGUACUAAUGCAGUACCUCAUUUUCUAGAAGAAAGAAUUUGAGUGUUUGCUAUAUUUGUGCAAAAAAAGAGGGAGUUCAAAGAAAAGCAACAAACAAGAUACAGCAUAUACUCUUGGAAAAGAGCUGCAUCCUUGCUGUUUAUCUGGAUUUCAACACACUGAUUGUUUAUAACAAACAUCAAAUCAGAAAGUUUAACAAACCAUCAAGUGACAUAUUAAAUAUAAAAAAUAUAAUGCGCUAGGAAUUGUAUUAAAUGUAAAGUUGCCCUGCUGGAAAUCUCUUCAAUGAAAAUUUUUUCCAAACAAUUGAGUAUGUGAAUGAUGUGAUCAUAAUACUUUGGAUAAUUAUGAGUAGCAGAAAUACAGAGUUAAUGGCACAAACUAAAAA